rnacentral:rRNA from 1 species
UACGGGGGGGGCAAGCGUUAUCCGGAAUGAUUGGGCGUAAAGCGUCCGCAGGUGGCAAUGUAAGUCUGCUGUUAAAGAGUCUAGCUCAACUAGAUAAAAGCAGUGGAAACUACAUAGCUAGAGUACGUUCGGGGCAGAGGGAAUUCCUGGUGUAGCGGUGAAAUGCGUAGAGAUCAGGAAGAACACCGGUGGCGAAGGCGCUCUGCUAGGCCGUAACUGACACUGAGGGACGAAAGCUAGGGGAGCGAAUGGG